rnacentral:rRNA from 1 species
AACGAACGCUGGCGGCAGGCCUAACACAUGCAAGUCGAGCGCGCCCUUCGGGGUGAGCGGCGGACGGGUGAGUAACGCGUGGAAACGUGCCCUUCUCUGCGGAAUAGCCUCGGGAAACUGAGAGUAAUACCGCAUACGCCCUUUGGGGGAAAGAUUUAUCGGAGAAGGAUCGGCCCGCGUUGGAUUAGGUAGUUGGUGGGGUAAUGGCCCACCAAGCCGACGAUCCAUAGCUGGUUUGAGAGGAUGAUCAGCCACACUGGGACUGAGACACGGCCCAGACUCCUACGGGAGGCAGCAGUGGGGAAUCUUAGACAAUGGGGGCAACCCUGAUCUAGCCAUGCCGCGUGAGUGAUGAAGGCCUUAGGGUUGUAAAGCUCUUUCAGCUGGGAAGAUAAUGACGGUACCAGCAGAAGAAGCCCCGGCUAACUCCGUG